UCGAUCCCUCCCUUGGCUAAAAAAGAAAAACUCGGGCUGCUUUUGCUAGGACCUUUCCCUUAGCUGAAAGAAAAAAAGAACCAACCCUAAAUCUAAAAACUCGGGCUCGUUUUCCCGCCUCUGACUCUCAGCCAAUCUCUCCCUCGCAUGCUCGAUCUCACUCUCAUGAAUCUCAGUCCCUCAAUCCACCCUCAAUCCCUUUCACCCUCUCAAGCUCACACACACUCUCAUCCCCCUGCGAUUCCGGCAAAGCAAGUUUGGGUAUGGAAGUUUUGGGUAUAGAAGUUUGGGUAAAGUAAGUUUGCAAAGCAUAGACGUCCUCAAGUUUGGUUCGAUUUCUGGUUCGAUUUCGAAUUCUUCAAGCUUGUACAAGUCCUUCAUCUACUGCUCCCCCACAGUACAAUUUCCCUCAAAUGAGUAAUCAGAAUCAAGUAGCUCCACAACAAGGACUUUUAUGGGGCUGCUCUGCUACAUAUUUUCAUCAAGAAAAGGUUUCAAUUUGGGGGAAAAACUUCUCAAUGGUUUGUGAAUAUAGCCUCUAUUUUCUGUUCAUGGAAGGUGGUAAGGGUUGUAAGAGCUAAUCCACUAAUGCUUACAGCACUUGCUGCAAUUACUUUGGCAUGCUUGGUUCAUCCAGGUUUGGGUCUACUUGUUCUCUUGCUCUCUCAUGCUUUGUGCUGUCAUACUGCUCUUUGCAGGUAUGUCCCAACUUCGAUUGCCAUGUGGACUUGGACGAGUUAUAAAUAUAUUUUCUGUCCAUUUAUUGUAUUCUUAUUUUAUAUAAGUUUUUAUUAUUGUUUCUUGUUGAUGCAUAAAAUUGUAAACUUCAUGAGUCAUUUCCUACAGUAUCUGAAAAAAAAAAUGAUCCUAAAAGAAUAUCAGCUUGUUAUUCUUUUGCUUCAUCCCUUUGAAAAUGUUAAUCUUAUUUUGUUUACAAUAUGUCAUGUCAUCUCCAUACCAUUCAUGUGCAGGCUACAAAAUUUGUUCAUCUAGUCUCCCUGUAUUAGACAAACACUAUGUUAAUUUGCAUACUAAUCCAGUUGUGUACCUUCUGCGCUAUCCCUAUAGUUGCUAAAUUUGGUGCAAUUAUAGGAAAGUAAGAUUAAGUUUCCCUGGUAAUGAAUUACUAUAUUACACGGGAAACUUAAAUCUUACAUGGUUGCCUCUCCUUGUUUCUGUUUUACUUGAACAAUUUAGCUAAUCAGUUUUACGUACUCUGUGCACCUGUUUUAUAUGACUGAACUAUGGCUUUGUAACAGUUAUGUGUUAUCUACACAUGCUCUAUCAAGUCCAUUCCAAAUAAUGUAAUUUAUUCUGAGAUUUGCAAAAUUGGUGCUAGGUGCUGGUAUUUUUUCUCACAUUUGGUUCUCUUGGAAUAUAGAAUAAUGGAGCGCGAGAAGCAGCUUAGCAUACUUUAUCAAAAACAAGGUCGUGCGACCCAGUUUCCAAGUCCAUCUAUUAAUUUAUUGUUUUGAUAUUCAUUGAAAUAUGCACUAGUAUAGCUUUCAGAUUAUCUUUGUAGUGAAAUCAGGAUCUGUGUUAUUUUGUUCUUUUCAAGAAGCAGCUAGAGCAAUUGACUCAUUGCAAAAUUCAUGUUGCUAUUUUGCAUUCUGUUAUCCAAAGAGGGCAUGGCCAACCAUUUCAGAUCCAGUGCUAUAUAUUGGCAGGGUUGAGUGCACCAUCUUGCUGGGAUAUACUGUGCAAUAGUUACACUCAACCAUAGGUUGGAACGAUUAAAGAGAGCCCAAUCUGAGAAAUCAUCACUUCUGGAAAAAGCUGAGGAACUUGCAGAUCAAUUGGCAGUGGAUAUCCUCAUUUUGUCAAAGUGAUGCUUCCAUCAGAUGUUGCUGUAGGCUUCUAGCUUCAACACGUCCACGUGCUUAGAGAAGGCAAGGAAGGUCAUCAUAGCAAAAUGGAGCUGAAGUUGUAGAGCAGGAAUUAGUUAGUGAAGAGUCUAAGCGUCAUGGUGGUAGUCAUCUUCAGCAGGGAAAACUGGCAACUCACAGUGAUGAGUUGGGAAGCUUAUCUCCAAAAGAGCUUGACGAAGCAAUUAUGCUUGAGACUGCACUUUUUGGUAAAUUUCCAUACACAUUUUGGUAAAUUGUGGAGGACAAGAACUUGGAUUUUAGUAUGAAGUGGGGAACGAGGUCAAAUUUGGUUUACACAGUCAAUGAUAUUGAUGAGAUCCGAGCGGAAUGGGCUGAGCAUGUUUUGAAGUUCCCAGAAAAUUAAGUAUCAGCCUAUAUAUAUGCUUUUGUUUCUGGUAGGUUAUGAGCAGUAGUAGCGUCUAGGAACUGCUUUUGUGCAUUUUGACAGAACUGCCUAUAUAUAUGCUUUUGUUUCUGGUAGGUUAUGAGCAGUAGUAGUGGCUAGGAACUGCUUUUGUGCAUUUUGACAGAACUGAUGGAAAGUGUUGAACAAAUGCAUGCAGUUGCUGUAACUACUCUAUGGAUGCUACUAGGUUUUUGUCUUAGUUAGAUUAAGAUCCGUGCAACAAUGGCAGUCAUUAAAAUCAUUUAAUGUAAAGGCUAGCAUGCUAGCUAGCUUAGUAUUAUGCUACUGAUGGGAAUGUAUUUUGGUGGGUUGAUUUAUGCAAUGAGGAAUUUGUUGA